rnacentral:rRNA from 1 species
CCUACGGGAGGCUGCAGUAGGGAAUUUUUCACAAUGGGCGAAAGCCUGAUGGAGCAACGCAGCGUGCAGGAUGAAGGCCUUCGGGUUGUAAACUGCUUUUUUUAGAGAGAAAUAUUAUGGUAACUUAUGCAUUAGGAUCUACUAUCUAAGUGCCAGCAGCCGCGGUCAUACGUAGGAUCCGAGCAUUUACCGGGGUGACUGGGUGUAAAGAGGUGUGUAGGUUGGAUAAUAAGUAGCUAGUGAAAGCUUGUGGCGUAACCAUUCAGAUUAUUAGCUAAACUGGUAAGCUCGAGAUCGUUAGGGGUAGCUGGAAUUUGUAGUGUAGGAGUGAAAUCCGUAGAUAUUAGAAGGAACACCGAUAGCGAAGGCAGGUUACUAGGACGGUUCUGACAUUAAUGCACGAAAGUGUAGGGAGCAAACGGGAUUAAAUACCCUAGUAGUC